UGAGCAAUCUGCCCUUCUCUUCGGAAUAAGCGUUGGAAACGACGUCUAAUGCCGAAUACGACCUCCUUUCGCAUGAUCGGAGGUGGAAAGCUCCGGCGGAGAAGGAUGAGCUCGCGGCCUAUCAGCUAGUUGGUGUGGGUAAUGGCCCACCAAGGCGACGACGGGUAGCCGGCCUGAGGAGGGUGACCGGCCACACUGGGACUGAGACACGGCCCAGACCUCCUACAGGAGCAG
rnacentral:rRNA from 1 species